GCCGCUGUGGUGGAACUGGCAGACACGCAGGACUCAAAAUCCUGUGAGAGCAAUCUCAUAUCGGUUCGACUCCGAUCAGCGGCA
rnacentral:tRNA from 1 species